UUUAUAUGAGAGUUUGAUCCUGGCUCAGGAUGAACGCCGGCGGUGUGCCUAAUACAUGCAAGUCGAACGCGUUGGCCCAAUUGAUUGAUGGUGCUUGCACCUGAUUGAUUUUGGUUGCCAGCGAGUGGCGGACGGGUGAGUAACACGUAGGUAACCUGCCCAGAAGCGGGGGACAACAUUUGGAAACAGAUGCUAAUACCGCAUAACAGCGUUGUUCGCAUGAACAACGCUUAAAAGAUGGCUUCUCGCUAUCACUUCUGGAUGGACCUGCGGUGCAUUAGCUUGUUGGUGGGGUAACGGCCUACCAAGGCGAUGAUGCAUAGCCGAGUUGAGAGACUGAUCGGCCACAAUGGGACUGAGACACGGCCCAUACUCCUACGGGAGGCAGCAGUAGGGAAUCUUCCACAAUGGGCGCAAGCCUGAUGGAGCAACACCGCGUGAGUGAAGAAGGGUUUCGGCUCGUAAAGCUCUGUUGUUAAAGAAGAACACGUAUAAGAGUAACUGUUCAUACGUUGACGGUAUUUAACCAGAAAGUCACGGCUAACUACGUGCCAGCAGCCGCGGUAAUACGUAGGUGGCAAGCGUUAUCCGGAUUUAUUGGGCGUAAAGAGAGUGCAGGCGGUUUUCUAAGUCUGAUGUGAAAGCCUUCGGCUUAACCGGAGAAGUGCAUCGGAAACUGGAUAACUUGAGUGCAGAAGAGGGUAGUGGAACUCCAUGUGUAGCGGUGGAAUGCGUAGAUAUAUGGAAGAACACCAGUGGCGAAGGCGGCUACCUGGUCUGCAACUGACGCUGAGACUCGAAAGCAUGGGUAGCGAACAGGAUUAGAUACCCUGGUAGUCCAUGCCGUAAACGAUGAGUGCUAGGUGUUGGAGGGUUUCCGCCCUUCAGUGCCGGAGCUAACGCAUUAAGCACUCCGCCUGGGGAGUACGACCGCAAG
rnacentral:rRNA from 1 species